rnacentral:rRNA from 1 species
GGUCCUAAGGUAGCGAAAUUCCUUGUCGGGUAAGUUCCGACCCGCACGAAAGGCGCAACGAUCUGGGCACUGUCUCAACGAGAGACUCGGUGAAAUUAUAGUACCUGUGAAGAUGCAGGUUACCCGCGACAGGACGGAAAGACCCCGUGGAGCUUUACUGCAGCCUGAUAUUGAAUUUUGGCACAGUCUGCACAGGAUAGGCAGGAGCCUUGGAAGCCGGAGCGCCAGCUUCGGUGGAGGCGCUGGUGGGAUACUGCCCUGACUGUGUUGAAAUUCUAACCCGCACCCGUGAUCCGGGUGGGAGACAGUGUCAGGCGGGCAGUUUGACUGGGGCGGUCGCCUCCUAAAAUGUAACGGAGGCGCCCAAAGGUUCCCUCAGAAUGGUUGGAAAUCAUUCGUAGAGUGUAAAGGCACAAGGGAGCUUGACUGCGAGACCUACAAGUCGAGCAGGGACGAAAGUCGGGCUUAGUGAUCCGGUGGUUCCGCAUGGAAGGGCCAUCGCUCAACGGAUAAAAGCUACCCCGGGGAUAACAGGCUUAUCUCCCCCAAGAGUCCACAUCGACGGGGAGGUUUGGCACCUCGAUGUCGGCUCAUCGCAUCCUGGGGCUGUAGUCGGUCCCAAGGGUUGGGCUGUUCGCCCAUUAAAGCGGUACGCGAGCUGGGUUCAGAACGUCGUGAGACAGUUCGGUCCCUAUCCGUCGCGGGCGUAGGAAAUUUGAGAGGAGCUGUCCUUAGUACGAGAGGACCGGGAUGGACACACCGCUGGUGUACCAGUUGUCUCGCCAGAGGCAUCGCUGGGUAGCUAUGUGUGGACGGGAUAAGUGCUGAAAGCAUCUAAGCAUGAAGCCCCCCUCAAGAUGAGAUUUCCCAUUACGCAAGUAAGUAAGAUCCCUUGAAGAUGACGAGGUAGAUAGGUUCGAGGUGGAAGUGCGGCGACGCAUGGAGCUGACGAAUACUAAUCGAUCGAGGACUUAAUCAA